CCCUUAGAUGUUCUGGGCCGCACGCGCGCUACACUGAUGAAUGCAACGAGCUCUACCCUUGACCGAAAGGCCCGGGUAAACUUGUGAAACUUCAUCGUGAUGGGGAUAGAUUAUUGCAAUUAUUAAUCUUCAACGAGGAAUUCCUAGUAAGCGCGAGUCAUCAGUUCGCGUUGAUUACGUCCCUGCCCUUUGUACACACCGCCCGUCGCUCCUACCGAUUGAAUGGUCCGGUGAAAUCUUCGGAUUGCUGACCAAGAUCCAGCAAUGGAGCUUGGUUGCGAGAAGUUGAUUAAACCUUAUUAUUUAGAGGAAGGAGAAGUCGUAACA
rnacentral:rRNA from 1 species